AGAAUGAAAAAAAUACAAGUCCCGAAACGAGAGAAAAUAAAUGACUUCAAUUAAUUACUCCUAUCUCAAAGCCUCCUCUGCAUUUCUUCAAUCCACUAAACAAGAUUCGUCUUUAAUUCCAGUUAAUUAGUUUAAUACUAAUAAUAAUACGGAGCAGCAUAGCAGCAUAAAUUGUAGUAUUCAAAAUAUAUGAAUGGCGAUGUAAGAAGUGAAUCGGCGAGGAGUGGAAUAUGUCGGGAAGCGAGUACGGCGACCGCAACGUACUAUUGCGCUCCAAUUCCUCGGCUUCGGAAGACGAUUUAGAAGCUCAGCCAACUCCCCGGAGCGGUAACAAAGGCAUUAAAGAUCUAUUAAAGCGUUUGGAUGGAGGCUUUUCUAAUUGCAGAUUUAUUAGUUUUAAUCGGCGGUCUUUCGACGGUAACCGCCACCACCAGCUACAGCAGAAUUCGGUUCACUCUCAUUCGCAUUCGGAUCCCGGUGUAAGUGGUGAUGCCGGUGAUGAGGAAAUGCUAGGCGAUUUCGCUCCGCCUGAGUGGGCGUUGCUGCUUAUUGGAUGCCUUCUUGGUUUAGCUACUGGUCUUUGUGUUGCCGCCUUUAACCGUGGGGUGCAUGUGAUUCAUGAGUGGGCAUGGGCUGGCACUCCUAAUGAGGGUGCUGCAUGGCUACGUUUACAGAGGCUAGCUGAUACUUGGCAUCGAAUACUAUUGAUACCGGUCUUGGGUGGAGUAAUUGUUGGCAUGCUGCAUGGUUUACUUGACAUAUUGGGUCAAAUACAGCAGUCCACUUCUCAGGGACAGGGAUUUGAUGUUCUUGCUGGAAUAUUCCCGACAGUAAAAGCCCUCCAAGCAGCCAUAACUUUGGGCACUGGGUGUUCUUUAGGUCCUGAAGGCCCCAGCGUAGAUAUUGGAAAAUCAUGUGCUUAUGGUUGCUCAGUAAUGAUGGAGAACAACAAGGAAAGGAGAAUAGCUCUUGUAGCUGCUGGUGCUGCCGCUGGAAUCUCUUCAGGUUUCAAUGCACCAGUUGCAGGCUGUUUCUUUGCUAUUGAAACUGUUUUAAGGCCUCUUCGUGCAGAAAAUUCUCCUCCAUUUACAACUGCAAUGAUAAUCUUGGCGUCUGUUAUCUCAUCCACGGUAUCAAAUGCUGUUCUUGGAGAGAAACAAGCUUUCACAGUGCCCACGUAUGAAUUGAAAUCUGCUGCUGAGCUACCAUUAUACCUUAUAUUGGGAAUGCUUUGUGGAGUAGUAAGUGUGGCUCUCACUUACUUGGUUGCUUGGUUCACUAAAGCAUUUCAGUUCAUGAAAGAUAGAUUUGGAAUCCCUGAUGUCGUUUGCCCUGCUAUUGGAGGUUUGGGAGCUGGGAUUAUAGCUCUUAGAUACCCUGGAAUACUUUAUUGGGGUUUCACUAAUGUUGAUGAAAUUCUGCAUACUGGGAAGACUGCUUCAGCACCUGGUAUUUGGCUUUUAGCACAAUUAUCUGCUGCAAAAGUUGUGGCAACUGCUCUUUGUAAAGGUUCUCACCUUGUUGGUGGCUUGUAUGCGCCAAGCUUAAUGAUCGGUGCAGCUGUGGGUGCUGUUUUUGGAGGUUCUGCUGGGGAGCUAAUCAAUUCAGCUAUGCCAGGAAAUGCUGCUAUUGCCCAGUCACAGGCAUAUGCAUUGGUUGGAAUGGCUGCUACACUAGCUUCAGUUUGUUCAGUGCCUUUGACUUCAAUUCUUCUACUGUUUGAAUUGACAAAAGAUUACCGAAUAUUGCUUCCUCUCAUGGGGGCCGUUGGAUUGGCUAUAUGGGUGCCCUCUGUGACAAAUGAAUCUAAAGACACAGAGCUAUCAGAUUCAAAGUCUUCGGCAAGAAAUUAUUCAGUUAUCUCACCUAAUGAAGACAAAAAUGAGGAAGGAAGUUGGGGGCAAACUGACGAAGGAAAAGAAAUGGAACUUUCUGUUGUUGGAAAUCCCAGUAAUUGUGCUGGAAUGGAUGGUGAAUUUCUUCUGGAGGAUCUGAAGGUAUCUCAGGCUAUGUCAAAUGACUUUCCGAAGGUCCCUCCGAACCAAACUAUUAAAGAAGCUUUGAAAUGUAUGUACGAUGGUCAGCAGAAUUGUGUCCUUAUUGUUGAUGCUGAAAAUUAUUUGGAAGGAAUUUUAACUUACGGUGACAUUAAGCGGUUUCUCUUCAAGAAUUCUGGUGAUGCUUCCAACAGUAAUUCAUCACUUCAAGAUGUAUGUGAAGUGAAUUGGUACUGUGAAACAAUUAUUUGGUGAAUACAUGUUCAGUUUCUUCUAUAUGCACCCGAGGAAUAAGCUACCGUGGAAGGCAUUGUGGACUUCUAACCUGUUAUCCAGAUACUGACCUGUCAAUAGCAAAGCAGCUAAUGGAGGCCAAGGGAAUUAAGCAACUGCCUGUGGUCAAACGUGGAUCAGACUUCCAGAAAGAAAGAAAGCGGAGAGUUCUUGCUGUUCUUUUGUACGAUUCAAUCCAAAAUGCUCUCAGAGAUGAGAUAGAUCGGCGGAGAUCAGUUGGUCAGCAGAGACUAGAAAACAAUCAGUGAUUGGAAAUGGCCAACUAUUGAUGACAUGGUCCUGAUGGCUGUUAGAGCUUGUUCCGCCAAAUGCCCAGGUGCAACUCAAGAUACAGGAGCCUAUUUUCUUUUUGAGUUUUGGCUUCAGACGGCUUCAUCUCGGGACAAUUGAGUCUGGUUGUCCUUUAAUGGAUGUGUCCAGAAAUGUAAUUGUAUUACGAAUUAAAAGCAUAAAAUACAAGUUGAUCGUCACUGUUUGGAAGACAGGAAGGCAUAUAAAAAGAUUCUGAUGCAAAUUAUACUGCUACAUCGUUUUUCCGAAAAAGGAAAUGGAGUUGGGCUGCUUCAUUUUC